CUUGCCAACUCGAAAUGCAUUUACAUUCCUAAGCCUUUGGCAACAAUUUCGACAGAUUCCGGAGCAGAUCACACCUCCACACGCAACCAUGUUACAAGGAUUCUAUCCUGUUCUGUAGCUCCUGCCUACACUCUAGUGGAUCUUCAGGUUCGUCAGCACGUUGUUGUGCACGGGGUCCGCCAAGUGGUCCAGUAGGUUCUGGAACGGGCCCACGCCUGUGAAGAUGGCCUGGGUGAAGUACCCCAACACCGCCAUCAUCGCCAACCGCCCGUUCUUGACCUCCUUCACCUUCAGCUCCUGCAACUCCUUCUCGUUCUUCCCGAAUCCCAAGAAGUUGAAGAUGGGCCCUCCUGGGUACGCCGGGUUGCCCGAUCCUCCCAAAAACUUCUCCAGCCCCAAAAAGUACUGCUUGCCCAUCGAUCCGGGCUUGUAGUAGUCCUGCGCGCGUCGGUGCUCCGCGAAUCCCAUCAACGCCAUCUCCAGCACGAACAGCGUAUACGGGUCGGCCCAGUAGCUGUAGUUGCCCACGGGCGGGAUCACGCCGCUCUGGAACCACGGGAUGGCGGUCUCCUGCGGGAUCAGCCCGAUUCUCCCCAGCACCUCAGGUGCGAUGGCACCGGCCGCUCCCAGCAUGGCGAACCGCCCGUUGAUGAUCUCGGCG
rnacentral:lncRNA from 1 species